rnacentral:rRNA from 1 species
CCCUUAGAUGUCCUGGGCCGCACGCGCGCUACACUGAGUGUCUGAGAUACGAGUCUGCCUGGUCCGGCAAGGUCUAGGUAAUCGCUAAAAGACACAUCAUGCUUGGGAUAGAUUAUUGCAAAUAUUAAUCUUGAACGAGGAAUUCCUAGUAAGCGCAAGUCAACAGCUUGCGUUGAUUACGUCCCUGCCCUUUGUACACACCGCCCGUCGCACCUACCGAUUGAAUGGUCCGGUGAAAUCUUCGGAUUGAGACUUUGAUUUCUUCACGGAAAACGCUGUUUUAAAAAGUUGAUUAAACCUUACCAUUUAGAGGAAGGUGAAGUCGUAACA